UAGAGUUUGAUCCUGGCUCAGGCCCAUAGCUGGCGGCGUGCCUAACACAUGCAAGUCGAACGGAGCGGUGACGGGAAACCCCCUCGGGGGCGGAACGGCGCCGUCUCAGUGGCGGACGGGUGAGUAACGCGUGGGCAGCCUGCCCCGUACCGGGGGAUAACAGCCGGAAACGGCUGCUAAUACCGCAUAAGCGCACGGGUGCCGCAUGGCACUGCGUGAAAAACCACGGUGGUACGGGAUGGGCCCGCGUCCGAUUAGUUAGUUGGCGGGGUAACGGCCCGCCAAGACCGCGAUCGGUAGCCGGCCUGAGAGGGCGGACGGCCACAUUGGGACUGAGACACGGCCCAGACUCCUGCGGGAGGCAGCAGUGGGGGAUAUUGCACAAUGGGGGGAACCCUGAUGCAGCGACGCCGCGUGGGUGAGGAAGUACCCCGGUAUGUAAAGCCCUUUCGGCAGGGAAGAAAAUGACGGUACCUGGCGAAGAAGCCCCGGCUAACUACGUGCCAGCAGCCGCGGUAAUACGUAGGGGGCAAGCGUUAUCCGGAUUCACUGGGUGUAAAGGGAGCGCAGGCGGUACGGCGAGUCUGAUGUGAAAACCCGGGGCCCAACCCCGGGACCGCACCGGAUACUGCCGGACUCGAGUGCCGGAGGGGCAGGCGGAAUUCCUGGUGUAGCGGUGAAAUGCGCAGAUAUCAUGAGGAACACCGGUGGCGAAUGCGGCCUGCUGGACGGUAACCUGACGCUGA
rnacentral:rRNA from 1 species